GACGAACGCUGGCGGCGUGCUUAACACAUGCAAGUCGAACGGAAAGGCCCUGCUUUUGUGGGGUGCUCGAGUGGCGAACGGGUGAGUAACACGUGAGUAACCUGCCCUUGACUUUGGUAUAACUUCAUGAAACUGGGGCUAAUACCGGAUAGGAGCUCCUGCUGCAUGGUGGGGGUUGGAAAGUUUCGGCGGUUGGGGAUGGACUCGCGGCUUAUCAGCUUGUUGGUGGGGUAGUGGCUUACCAAGGCUUUGACGGGUAGCCGGCCUGAGAGGGUGACCGGCCACAUUGGGACUGAGAUACGGCCCAGACUCCUACGGGAGGCAGCAGUGGGGAAUAUUGCACAAUGGGCGGAAGCCUGAUGCAGCAACGCCGCGUGCGGGAUGACGGCCUUCGGGUUGUAAACCGCUUUCGCCUGUGACGAAGCGUGAGUGACGGUAAUGGGUAAAGAAGCACCGGCUAACUACGUG
rnacentral:rRNA from 1 species